GAUGAACGCUGGCGGCGUGCCUAAUACAUGCAAGUCGAGCGAACGGACGAGAAGCUUGCUUCUCUGAUGUUAGCGGCGGACGGGUGAGUAACACGUGGAUAACCUACCUAUAAGACUGGGAUAACUUCGGGAAACCGGAGCUAAUACCGGAUAAUACUUUGAACCGCAUGGUUCAAAAGUGAAAGACGGUCUUGCUGUCACUUAUAGAUGGAUCCGCGCUGCAUUAGCUAGUUGGUAAGGUAACGGCUUACCAAGGCAACGAUGCAUAGCCGACCUGAGAGGGUGAUCGGCCACACUGGAACUGAGACACGGUCCAGACUCCUACGGGAGGCAGCAGUAGGGAAUCUUCCGCAAUGGGCGAAAGCCUGACGGAGCAACGCCGCGUGAGUGAUGGAGGUCUUCGGAUCGUAAAACUCUGUUAUUAGGGAAGAACAUAUGUGUAAGUAACUGUGCACAUCUUGACGGUACCUAAUCAGAAAGCCACGGCUAACUACGUG
rnacentral:rRNA from 1 species